rnacentral:rRNA from 1 species
AGAUUGAACGCUGGCGGCAGGCCUAACACAUGCAAGUCGAGCGGCAGCACGGGUACUUGUACCUGGUGGCGAGCGGCGGACGGGUGAGUAAUGCCUAGGAAUCUGCCUGGUAGUGGGGGAUAACGCUCGGAAACGGACGCUAAUACCGCAUACGUCCUACGGGAGAAAGCAGGGGACCUUCGGGCCUUGCGCUAUCAGAUGAGCCUAGGUCGGAUUAGCUAGUUGGUGAGGUAAUGGCUCACCAAGGCGACGAUCCGUAACUGGUCUGAGAGGAUGAUCAGUCACACUGGAACUGAGACACGGUCCAGACUCCUACGGGAGCAGCAGUGGGGAAUAUUGGACAAUGGG